rnacentral:rRNA from 1 species
AUUGAACGCUGGCGGCAGGCCUAGCACAUGCAAGUCGAGCGGAUGAAGGGAGCUUGCUCCUGGAUUCAGCGGCGGACGGGUGAGUAAUGCCUAGGAAUCUGCCUGGUAGUGGGGGAUAACGUCCGGAAACGGGCGCUAAUACCGCAUACGCCCUGAGGGAGAAAGUGGGGGAUCUUCGGACCUCACGCUAUCAGAUGAGCCUAGGUCGGAUUAGCUAGUUGGUGGGGUAAAGGCCUACCAAGGCGACGAUCCGUAACUGGUCUGAGAGGAUGAUCAGUCACACUGGAACUGAGACACGGUCCAGACUCCUACGGGAGGCAGCAGUGGGGAAUAUUGGACAAUGGGCGAAAGCCUGAUCCAGCCAUGCCGCGUGUGUGAAGAAGGUCUUCGGAUUGUAAAGCACUUUAAGUUGGGAGGAAGGGCAGUAAGUUAAUACCUUGCUGUUUUGACGUUACCAACAGAAUAAGCACCGGCUAACUUCGUG